rnacentral:lncRNA from 1 species
CCAAGAGAAGUGAAUCACUAAUAUUGCUUAAAUACCAAGUCUUACCUUUAUCAGAUUUAAGCUACUAAUUUAUUAUCUUUUAAACAAAAAUCACUUUUAAAAUCAAAAGACUCAACUCACAAACAAAAACAAUUUACAGACUGUAUGACUCCUAAAACGUCAGAGACACUAAUGUAAUAAAAGUUACACCUAAAUGUGGAACAUAAUCAAACACAAGUAAAGACAAUUAAAUUCUACUCCUAUGGUGAGGCUCUUAGUUUUGGUUAACAAAACACACUCACCUGUCUAUAUAUCAAUUUCAAAGAAAGCAAUAAAGAUGCCAAGAGUUGAAAAGAACACUAAGAACUCUUCCAAUCAACUUGGACUUUAUAAAUGACCAUUUACAAACCAAUAGAAACCAAAGAAAAAGGACUAAUACAAGCCCAUUACAAAUAAAAUGGAAUAAACAAAUACAAAUAAAACAAAAAAAAUAGACUAUGCUACUGGUCUUGUUCUUGGACGUUCUUGAUAUGGUGCACUGCUGCAGAAUUUUCUCAUGAUCAAUGUUGCUUUCAACUUGCUCUGCCUAAUCAUGAAGCUGGUGGUUUACUCCUACAAACACAUUGGAUACAUGGAUCAUUGUUCAGUCAAACAUAUUGCAGAAGAAAACCAUAUGAAUUAUAAAAGAAACUUCCCUGUUUUAGCCGUGUGCAAUUGAUGUAGUUAGAAGGUUGUUUUUGUUCUCCAAAGACAAACUGCACACGCAAUUCAGCAGAUCAGGCAAGCUAACAAAGUGCAAUUCAUAACACAAUCAAUUUAAGCAAACAACUGGAACAAACAGAAGCAAUUAAACAACUCCCUUUAUGCAAAUGCUAUCUCCAGCUGUGGUUUACAAAGUGUUCAGCCCACAAUUCUACAAAUUAUCUCAGCAGUACUUCCAAGGCUUUCAACUUAUAUGGCUGCUUCUAGCUGUUUAAGUCCAAUCAGUUCAGAUCUGCAUAGAAUUUCAAACCAGAAAUCAGCAGUCUACCCAAUUCAAGCAAUUUCAAUCGAUAACAAAGAAGAUAGUUUAAGCAAACAACUCCCCUAUUAUUCUCUGGCCUGCACGUGUUCACUUGAUGAUCCUGGCAGUUUUGUAGCUCUUAAAUUCGAACUAUAUCAGGCUUACACACAAAAAUCUCAACAAAAUCCAGUAAUUGCAAAUGGAAAGUGAACUAGAUUCAGAUUGGAUGUGAUUCAAUGCAAAAACUAAGCACCUAAUUAAUUCAACCAUCAAAUCAGAAUUGGACAGUAGGUGCUUUAAUCAAUUCUUAAAACUGAAUGAUGCUUUAGCAAUUGAAACAAGUUGAGGCUGGAGCUUAAUUACUCCAAACAGAUCAGCUUAUGCACAAAUAUGUCACACACAACAGAUAUAUUAUAUAUCUAAAUGGGAAUGAUACAGCUAGGUGACAUUCAGUAAUAAGCAUACAUUCAAUUCAAGAGGAGUUAUGACCGUAAGCUCAGAACAGAAUUUAGAUACCACAACAAGUGAAAGACAACUGAUUAUGGCAAGACCAUCCUUUUCAGCAAAUCAGUGAAUGAAACUGGGCAGAAACAAUGGACCAUGCUAAUGAAGUCAAUGGACAAAGAGUAAAGUGAGGUAAAUCAGGAUUCAAUGCAGAUUUCAACAAUUCAAUCAGACCCUAAAAUCAGCAAUCACAUUCAAAACAGUUAUGAUAAACAGUUAUUUAUCAUAACUCUGGGGCGGACUUUGGGAAAGGAAGAAAUUAAAAACCCUAGACAGCAGCAAAGAGAAGAAAAAAACCACAUGUGAGCCUUGUGGUGGUGGCAAUGGUGGAGCACUUGUUCGGUACAACGACGGUCAUGGUGAAUUGCUCAUUCUACUUCAAGAGAGGCGUGUGUAGGGACAGUAAUUCGUGCUCUUUCCUCCAUACAAAGCUGAGCAUAAGUCCUACCAUUAUGCUCUCCAACAUGUACCAGCGCUCAGACAUGAUAAUCCCCGAUGGCGAUGCCCACGGCAACCCUAUCAACCACCGCCAGAUCCACGACCCCUUUGAGGAGUUAUAUGAGGAUAUCUUUGAAAGCCUCAAGGUUUGAAAGCCUCAAGGUUUGCGACAACCUCGCCGACCACAUGGCGGGCAAUGUAUACGUUAAGUUCAGAGAGGAGGAGCAUGUUGCAAAUGUUGUCAGGAACCUCACGGGACGAUUUUAUGCCAGUAGCCAGUGAUCGUGGACUUCUCAUUGAUGACGGAUUUUCAAGGAGUUACUUGCAGGCAGUACGAGGAGAAUAUUUGCAACCACCAUGGCUGCAACUUCAUGCAUUUGAAAAGAAUUAGCUGGGAUUUGAGACACCAAUUAUUUGGGAAGCAUCAUAAAAGGAACAACAAUAGCAAGAGUCGUUACGGGCAUCGCAGCCAUGACAAGCAGUCCCAUCGUAAUCAUAGUAGAAAGUACAAUGACAGGGACCACCAUCAUGAGAGUUGUCGUAGGAAAUGCAAGAGUUCGAGUCAUGAACUUAGAGGAAGAAGUGGAAGUUCGAGACGGAGGAAGUACUAUAGAUAUAUGUUGAAUGGCAGGAAAGGGGAAGGAAGGGAGCAACUUGGGCGAAUGUGCUGACUAUUAAGGAACAAUUCCAAACUUCAACCUUGAGGACAAGGUUGCACAUCAGGUGAUGGGUAAUGAUAGGGAAUACAGAGGGGAAGAGGCGUUAGGCAGUUAUAACCGUAUUAUUAGAAUUAUUAGUAUUAUUAGUUUGGGUGGGAAAUAAAUAAAGCUCCUAUAUAAGAGCUGAGGUGGGGGAAGGAUAUGGUACGCUUUUGGAAAUAAUAGAUUGUGUAGACAGGAUCACACUUAUCCUGUGGAGAGAGAAUUUGACUCUCUUGGAACAAAUGUGAUAAUCAAGCUGCUCUUCAUAUUAGAGCUAACCCUGUCUUCCAUGAGAGAACCAAGCACAUUGAAGUCGAUUGCCAUUUUAUUAGAGAAAAAAAUCAUAUAUGGAGAUAUCAAGACUGAGUUCGUUAACUCAAGCAACCAGUUGGCAGACAUAUUCACUAAGUCCUUGCGAGGACCUAGAAUUGAUUAUCUUUAUAACAAGCUUGGAACAUAUGAUUUAUAUGCUCCAGCUUGAGGGGGAGUGUUAGAGAUAUUAUAUUUAGUUUAUAUUUAUCUCUUAUCUUUAGUUAGUUUGUUUAUAUUUCUUAUUUGUAUUUUGGGCUUAGCACAUAUUUCUUCUAUUAUAAAUAAAUGACUCUAUGUGUAUAUUCAACACAAGGGAGAUUUCCCCUCAUCUCUUUCACUAUUUCAUAACAGGCGACCGGAGUAACCGAAGACCAAUUGCUGGGGUAUUUUUUCGCGAGUUUGCAGGAGGGAUUGUGAAACGCUGUGAGACCGCAUGACCCACGCGACUUGUUGACGGCAACGGAGAGAGCUAGGGACGUCGAACAAGGGGGAUGGACGUCGCGAGGAAGUAGUGGAGUGGGAGGAAGAGGCGAAGCGACGUGGGGAAGAUACUCCGCAAGUUCAGGGACGGUGGCGAGGACAAAAACUUUUCGCAGACCGUCGGAGGGAUCGGUGAAUGGUGGCGGAGGGCAAGGAAUGAAGAAGGACGUUAGUGCGAAUACCAUGGCUUCGAAGGCGGGUAACAGUGGAGGAGGAACCACGGGACGAGGCGUGCGGACCCUGCCUUACCAAGAAUACAUGAAGCGGCGAGAAGAAGGACGUUGUUUCCACUGCGGCGGACCCUACAGUCCAGGCCAUCGUUGUGCUGAACGGAGCAUACGGGUGAUGAUAUUGGCGGAGGAGGACGAAGAUGAAAAAGCGGAGGCAAGUGUCAAAGUAGAACAGAAGGCUAUGGAGUUGUCGGGAUUGUCCGCAAGUGGCCUCUCGCAAUCGAACACGAUGAAGCUGCAAGGUUGGGUGCAGGGGAAGAGAGUUCUGGUGCUUAUUGACAGUGGAGCUACCCAUAGUUUUAUAUCCACCCGAUUGGUGAAAGAGCUGGGUCUGAAGUGCACCGACACACGGUGUGUUUAGGGGAUGGACAAAGGAAAGAAACCAGCGGGUAUUGCACAGGAGUCUCGGUGUUACUAGAAAACUUAGAAGUUAGAGAUAAGUUAUAUCUCCUUGAAUUAGGCAGUGUGGACAUAAUAUUGGGAAUGACCUAGUUAUCCUCCCUAGGAGAGAUCAAAGUAGAUUGGGGACAACUCAUCAUGAAGGUGGCGCAUGGAGGAAGAGAAGUGGAGGUAAAGGGGGAUCCAUCAUUGACACGUAGGUAAAGGGAUUGAAAUGCUGACUUUAGUAUGGAGCUUAAACCAAACAGAAUUGGUGGAUGAAAAGAUGGAAGAGAGUGACUUAAUGCAAGAUGAGGAGGUAGAGCUGGAACAGAUUCUAAGUACUUUUGAAGGGGUAUUCUGAGACCCCAUGGCCUCCCACCCGAGAGGAGAGUGGAUCACAGAAUUCCCUUAAAAGAGGGUAGUGAGCCCGUCAAUGUGAGGCCAUACAGGUACCCUCAUGGAAUGAAAGCUGAGAUAGAGCGUCAAGUGGAAGAGAUGCUGAAUUUGGGCAUUAUCAGGCCCACUAACAGUCCCUACUCUAGUCCUGUAAUAUUGGUGAAAAAGAAGGAUGGAAGUUGGAGGUUUUGUGUGGAUUAUAGGGCAUUGAACAGAGUAACCGUGGCUGAUAAAUACCCCAUUCCAGUCAUUGAGGAGCUGCUGGAUGAACUUCAAGGUGCAUCUUACUUUUCUAAAGUUGAUUUAAAGGCUGGAUAUCAUCAGAUAAGAAUGAAGAGGGAAGAUAUUCCAAAAACUGCUUUUCGGACACAUCAAAGGCAUUAUGAAUUCCUUGUGAUGCCCUUUGGAUUAACAAAUGCCCCAACAAAUGCCCCAGCUACAUUCCAAGACAUGAUGAAUUCAGUUUUAAGGCUGCUAUUGAGGAGGUUCGUGUUAGUAUUUUUUGACGAUAUACUCAUCUAUAGCAAGACUUGGGAGGAGCAUUCUCAACACCUCACUCAAGUCUUAAAAGUCUUGGCUGAACAUGAACUUUUUGCAAACAAAAAGAAGUGUGAAUUUGGGAUUAGACAAGUGAGAUAUUUGGGGCACAAGAUAUCGGUAGCAGGGGUGGAGAUGGACAGGGAGAAGGUUGCAGCUGUCUUGGAAUGGCCAGAACCUAGAAACAUCAAGGAGUUGAGAGGGUUCCUUGGGUUAACUGGGUAUUAUCGCAGGUUCAUUAGAGACUAUGGGAAAAUGGCUAAACCCCUUACUGAUUUGUUGAAAAAAGGGAUGUUGAAAUGGUCUAAAGAGGGGGCCAUGGCAACACAGAAGCUUAAAGAGGCAGUGACUACAGCUCCAGUGUUGAUUCUCCCUGACUUUGAGCAAACCUUUGUUGUAGAAUGUGAUGCUUUGGGUACAGGCAUUGGGGCUGUUUUGUCCCAAAAAAACAGACCCAUAGCCUUCUUUAGUAAGGCAUUAUCUCAGUCUUCCUUAACCAAGUCCAUUUAUGAGAAGAAAUUAAUGGCACGUGUGCUUGCUAUACAACAUUGGAAGCCAUAUCUAUUGGGUCAGAAGUUUGUUGUUUUUACUGAUCAGAAGAGUUUGCGUUAUGUAUUGGAACAACGCAUUACAACUCAAAGUCAGCAAAAUUGGCUAGCUAAACUUUUGGGGUACGAAUUUGAAAUCAAAUAUAGGACAUGUGCUUCCAAUCAUGUGGCGGAUGGGUUAUCCAGAAAAGGCAUGCAGGAUGAGGAAACAAACAAGUUGUUACAUAUGAUAUCACGGCCAUAUUGGCCUGAAUUUCAAGAGAUCAUGGAGGAGGUGGAAAAAGAUGAGAGUUUGCAAAAGGUGCUGGAGGAAUUAAGGUGCUGAAUAGGGUGCUGGGAACUUAUUUGCGUUGUUUUAGUUCUGAGCAACCAAAAAUUUGAGAGUACAGUCUUGCCUUGGGCGGAAUAUUGGUACAACACUACUACCAAGGAGCUUCAAAAUGCACACCUUUUGAAACUGUGUAUGGAAGACCCCCUCCAACUCUCUCUCACGUUUCAUUCCUGGAGAAACAGUGGUGGAAGCCGUUGCACAAGACUUACAAACACAAGAUGAGGCUUUGACACAACUUAAAUAUCAUCUGGCUAGAGCUCAAGACCAGAUGACUCACUAUGCCAACAGGAAGAGGAUGGACACCAAGAUCAAGGAGGGAGAUUAGGUAUUCUUGAAAAUCCAGCCUCAUAGACAGACUUCUAUGCCCACACGCUUACACCCAAAACUUUCUGCACGGUAUUAUGGACCAUUUUUGGUGGAGAAACAAUUAGGACCAGUCGUUUUUCGCUUGCAAUUACCUACAACAUCAACAAUCCACCCUGUUUUUCAUGCUUCCCAAUUGAAGCUAGCUAUAGGGGAUCAUUCGGUGGAAGGGCAUCUUCCCAUUGGACUGCAAGUUGACAGGCCUAUGUACACCCCUCUAAAGGUAUUAUAGUGCAGGAUCCAGUUGCAACAAGGAGAGGAGAUUCCCCAAGUUUUAAUACAAUGGCAAGAAGGUGGGUUGGAUGGAGCGACUUGGGAAGAGGAACAAUACAUUCGACAGUAGUUCCCUCACUUCAACCUUGAGGACAAGGUUGAUCUUGGAGAGGAGGGUAAUGUUAGACAAUUAAAAGUGUAUGUGAGGAGGAAUAAAAGAUGAGAAAGUUAAGGGCGGGUAGAGGGGAAAUCAGUUAGAGGAGAGAGGGUGAGUUUGUUAGGAGAGAGAGAGUAUAAAUAACAAAUAGUUUGAGAGAGGGGAGCAGAUUAUGAUUUUGGAAUUGAGACUGGACCUCUUGGCCAGUGGAGGAAGGGAGGCUUCCUUGGGGGAGAGUUAGAUACCUAUAUUCAUCUUUUCUUACCAUUACAGAGGAAAUAUCAAUACAUCUACAUACAUAUUUCUUAUACUGUUGUGUGAGUGUGAGUAUUUUUGCUACUGUUCAGUUCCUUGCAUAAAGGAACCUAUCAGUUUUCCAAUCCAGGAACCUAUCAAAUGUCAUCUCCUAAAUGUUCAACAUUGUCCUCAAGGAAAGGAUUGGAGAUUCCCCUACCAAAUGCAUGCAUGAAUGUUUUUCAUUAAAUUACUUUGCAACAUAAAUAUCAGGCACUCUUGGACAUAACAAAAGGUUAUGAACAAUGGUACUAGACAGCAAGAAGUUACUAACAAUGGUAUCAAUAUUAACAAAACAACUAAAUCAACAAACUUUGCACAAUGAUUAGAUUACUCAGAGAUUUGCAUUUGACAAGUUACAUAUACAAGUACAUACUUUCAACAUUGUCAACAGUACUCAUUCUUUGUGUUAUCUUGUUUCCCUGGCCAAUGUCACAAAGCUCCACCUAUUAUCAACAAACUAGUAUUUGUUACAAAUGUAGUUGAUUGAGAGUCCAUAAGGCCGAGCCAGAGUCCAUUUUCCAGCCCCGUGAUUUUGGUGAAAAAGAAAGAUGGGAGUUGGAGGUUUUGCAUGGAUUACCAAGCAUUAAACAAGGCUAUCGUUCCAAAUAAAUUUCCUAUACCAGUGAUUGAAAAGUUGUUAGAUGAGCUCAAGGGGGCAAGGUUCUUUUCUAAGUUGGACUUGAAGGCUGGAUAUCAUCAAAUAUGCAUGGGUGAGGAAGAUAUCCAUAAGACUGCCUUUCGGACACAUCAGGGCUUGUUUGAGUUUUUAGUGAUGCCUUUCGGGCUAAUAAAUGCGCCAGCUACAUUUCAGAGUGCCAUGAACCAAUUAAUGGCACCUUAUUUGAGAAGAUGUGUUCUCUUUUUUUUUAUGACAUCUUGGUAUACAACCCCUCCUAGAAAUCACUUAAAACUAGUGUUGCAGCUGUUAGAACAGAACAGUUGGGUGGCAAAUCAAAAAAAGUGUGAGUUUGGGAAACGAAGGAUCCAAUACCUGGGACAUCAAAUUUCGGAGGAAGGGGUGGAGAUGGAUAAAGAGAAGAUCAAGGUCGUGCUAGAAUGGGAAGAACCCAGGAAUGUGAAAGCAUUAAGGGGAUUCUUGGGCUUAACGGGUUACUACAGGAGAUUCGUGCAUAAAUAUGGAGAGUUAGCAAAACCCCUUACUGAAUUGUUGAAAAAGGGAAAGUUUGAAUGGACAGAACGAGCCAGAACAGCCAUGGCAACUCUAAAGACAGCCAUGACAACGACACCGGUGCUGGCGUUGCCCAAUUUUACACAAGAGUUCCACGUCGAGUGUGAUGCAUCCAGAAGUGGAGUAGGGGCUGUGUUAAUGCAAGAUAAGAAGCUCAUUGCGUUCUUUAGCAAAGCGCUAUCGGAGGGGUCUCGAAGCAAGUCAGUAUAUGAGAAAGAGCUGAAGGCAUUAGUCAUGGCCAUCCAACACAGGCGUCCCUAUUUAUUGGGAAGGAGGUUUGUGGUACAUACCGAUCAGUGCAGUCUCAAAUACUUGCUGGAACAGAGAAUAACCACGCAUUGUCAGCAGAAUUGGAUAGCGAAAUUGAUGAGUUACGAUUUUGAAAUCGUUUACAAGGUGGGCAGUUCUAAUAAGGCUGCAGACGCCUUAUCUCGGAAAGGAGAAGGUGGUAUGGAGGAGGGGGAGUUGCGUGCUUUAUCCAGACCUUACUGGCAUGAUUUUCAGGAGGUCCUAAAAGAAGUGGAGGAGGAUGACACCCUUCGGAAGAUACGAGAGGAUUUAAAAAGGGAUCCAAAUAGCCAUGAACCUACACUUUGGAGAAUGACCGUCUUCACUACAAGGGAAGAUUGGUUUUGUAAGCUAAAUCGUGUUGGAUUUCCAAGCUGUUAGCAGAGUUUCACGUGACAAGCACUGGAGGCCACUCGGGAGUGUUUCACACCUACAGGAAAAUAGCACAAUCGUUAUACUGGCCGGGGAUGAAGAAAACGGUAACUGAGUUCGUAGCGAGCUGUGUGAUUUGCCAACAACAUAAGUACUUAGCUGCCUCCCCUCAGGGUCUGUUACAACCUCUCCCGAUUCCUCAGGCAAUCUGGGAAGAGAUCAGUCUUGACUUUAUUGUGAAGUUACCCAAAUCACAAGGGUUUGAUGCAAUCUUGGUAGUAGUUGACAGGCUGAGCAAGUACGGCCAUUUCAUAGCGCUGAAGCACCCCUACUCAGCUCGCACGGUGGCAGAGAUUUUCAUACAAGAGGUAGUUAAAUUGCACGGGAUACCCACGUCAAUAAUCAGUGAUCGAGAUCCCCUAUUCUUGAGCAUGUUCUGGAAGGAGCUCUUCAAGAUGCAGGGCACUCAACUUAGCAUGAGCACAUCAUACCAUCCUGAGACAGAUGGUCAAACCGAGGUGGUGAACCGAAUUUUGCAGGGAUAUUUGAGGUGUUUCUGCUCAAAGCAGCCUAAGGGGUGGAAGAUGAUGCUUCCAUGGGCUGAACAUUGGUAUAAUACCAGUUAUCAAGGGGCCGCUAGGUGCUCUCCUUUCGAAAUAGUUUAUGGGCGAGCUCCACCAGCGUUGAGUCGUUUUAUCCCUGGGGAGACAGCGAUGGAAUAGGUGGCACAGGAUUUGUUAACAAGGGAUGAAGCUUUAAAGCAGCUGAAGGUGCAUUUAAGGCAAGCGUAGGAGGCUAUGAUUACUCAGGCAAAUAAAAAAAGGAAAGACGUAGAUAUUCAAGUGGGAGAUUGGGUUUAUUUAAAAAUUAGACCCCGUAGACAGUCAUCCAUGGCAACUAGGUUGCAUCCGAAGCUUUCUGCACGAUAUUAUGGGCCUUUUGAGGUGUUACAACAGGUGGGGAAGGUAGCUUUUCGUUUACAGUUACCAGAGGCAACAAGAAUACAUCCAAUAUUCCACGUUUCCCAACUAAAGAAAGCCUUGGGUGAGAAGAGAGUUGAAAGGGAACUUCCAGCUGAGUUACAAGCAGACAGACCCCUAUUUUGGCCAGUAAAGAUUCUGGACAGGAGGACAAGGCUGAUAUGAGGAGAAGAAAUCCCGCAUGUUUUGAUAGAAUGGCAAGAGGGAGGGCCAGAGGGGUCUACGUGGGAAGAUGUGGCGACUAUACAGGAGCAAUAUCCGGAAUUCAACCUUAGGGACAAGGUUGUUGGAGGAGAGGGGAGUAAUGUUAGGGAGUUAAUUGUAUAUAGGAGGAGACAGAAAGUUACUUAGCCUAACUGCCAAGGCAGUUAGGAAGUGGGGGAAAUGGGUUUCUGUUAGUGUCAAUUAGUAGUUUGUAUAUAGGGGGAAAUGGGUGUUUGUAAUUAGUUUUUGGAGUCAUUGUCUUUGUGCACGAACUCUUGGGGUUCUGUGGGGGAGAGGUUAAGCUCUCUAGGUGCUUUGUAUGCUACAUACGUGUUUCUUUUGCAAUAAAGAGAGGUUAUUCACUACUGAGUUGAUUGUUGGGUGUGUGUUCUGGUGUUAUCUAGAGGUUCUUGAUUACAAGAACCUAACAUCCCCCUCCAAAUCAGUUUAUCAGCGCCACCUUCAAGCCCGACCAAGAACGGUUCUUGGCUUUGUCUUUCCAAAUCUUGAACCAGUAACUCGCACUCCCUUCCAUACUCAUAUAAGCGAGCUCUACCUUAUCUUCUUCCGCCACCUUCUGUAUGUCAAAUAAACGCUCAGCCCUGUUAAUCCAAACACGUGGUUCUUGCCCUUCAAACCCAGGUAAGUCUACUCUCUUCCUCCAAUUCCGUUGACUUCCCCCAUUAUCGCGCCUCCCAUUAUUAUCGUUCACGGAGCUACUUCCCCUUCGGAGCCUCCCUCCUGAUUGUUAUGAUCCCCGCCCAUCAUCCUCAUCAUUUGCUGUAAUCUAAUUGUCGUUGUCUCCUCCUUAAUGCCCUCCACGGAGAUCUCAAGAUUGUCUAAUCUUCCCUCCAUUUGGCUACUCAUCGCUGAUUCUUCCCCUUCUUGAUCCGGCAAGUCGGACCAAAUGAUAGGUUCUUGUAAUCAAGAACCUAUAAAAAAAACACUCGAAAACACACAAAGAACAAUUCCUCUGAAUUGUACAGCCUCCUUUUAUUUCAAAAGAAACAAGAAAGUGGUGAAUUUAAGGUACUUAGAGAGCUUAACCUCUCCCCCAAAGAACUCCAAAGUUCCAGCACAACAAUAAUACUUCAAAACUUACUCUCCCAAAGCACCCCAACCCCUUUUAUACAGACUUCUUCCUAACUACCAGUAGAGGCCUAACAAGAAUAGAACAGUCUAACUUAUUUACUGACAGAUACCAAAUAGCUAUGAAAUAAAGUAGCUGCCAAACUAAAAUAUUGUCUUAUUUGCAUUUACAUAUCAAACAUAUAUGCUUUCAUUAUGGAUAAUAAUAGGGUCCAGAAAUCUUAACUCAUAAAACAAGUUAUUUAACUGUGAUUAAAUAAGCAAAUUGUUACCAUUUACACAACUAGUUUUAUAUUCACUUUGUUCGCCACUUUUCUAAUAUGUGAAGAUAAAUAAGAAAAUUGUCAAAAUUACUGAUGAAAAUUUUCCUCUACCAAAUAGGAUAUGCAGUAUAAAAUUAAGGCAUACUAUAUUGUGCACCAAGGAUUUGAUUUUGUGUGUUAAGAAAAAUCUUAAAGAGAGUGCAGAAAAUAUGAGCAAAGCGGGUUUCCUGGACACAAUGGCCAAAAGACUUCCCAUUAGUUACCUUUAGAAAUAUAUACAAUAGUAUUUCCUUCAAAAGACAAAUAACAAGAUAGCAUUCACUAAACCAAUACUAUUUUCCUAAUUUAAGGCAUAUUCAACAUAGUACAUUAUUCCAUUCCCAAGGACAUAUUUGAACAAGUUUCACCAGGAGAGAAAAACAAGAAAAAAAAAAUGAAAUUAAGUUCUCCAUAAGCUAAAAUUACCUUAUGUACAAGUUAAAAAUAAUGAUUAAAAGAAGCUAGAAAGUGCUUCUACAAAUUAGCUUAUGCAUUUUAGCUUAUGUAAAAGUUCGUCCAAAAGUAAAUAAAGAUAAGCAUGCUCAUUAAUAAAAUUAUGGAACAAGUAUGCAUUUAGGGAGGGUCAGUAUGACACAAAAAAGAGGAAAACUUAGGACAAACCUUGAUUGUGGCUUUUCCUCUUCCUUCAUGAGAGUGAUCUACUUUAAGAACCUGAAGAGGUUUGCAUCACAAAAGAAAGUGUGGGAUAACAAGAUUCAAUGGAAUAAGAAAUAUCUGUGAGGAUUUUAAAUAUUUAGAAAUAUUUUUUUAAUGUUACAUUCUUCUUCUACACCGGUUAUAAGUUUGACCGGUAUAAAAAUAACAUCAUUUUAUACCUCAUUCAAAUAUAACCGGUAUAAAAUCUUGUUAUUUAUUACAAUUUUAUGAUUAUGUCACUUUUUAUACUUGUUUUUUAGUAUAACUGAUUUAAAAAUAUUUAUUUUAUUUACGAUUUUGCCAUUGCAUCUCUUUCUAUACCUAGUAUAUUACAGUCGUUAUAAAAAGUGUUUUUGGUAUGGCCGCUAUCAGAAAUGAUUUGUACAACGAACUCAGUCAAUGGUGUGAUGAAUACGCAAGACUAGUAGGAGGCACUCAUAUAGUAGACGAACUGAAACAGUCUUUGUUGGUGCAAUCACAGUCGACCGUAAGUGUGUAUCCUGUUUUAUGUAUUUUAUUUAGAAUGUUUAUUUUAUCUAAAAACUUGUUUGAUUCAUAACAGACUAACAAGAACAAGUGGAUGACAUUACCAGACAUUGGUCAUGCAAUUGCUAACGAAUAUAAUGUCAUUUUAGUGUGUAUGUCAUCCUCUCAAAAUUAUACUAUUUUCCCACUACUUUCCACACCACCUUCUAAUAUAACUCAACAUCACAUAAUUUGUAUUGGACAUGUUCAUGGAUGUCAUUUCGUGCAAGUAAUUUUAUUAAUUUGUGUUUUCAUUUGAAAAUUACUUAUGACUCCAUUAACUAUUGUAAUUUGUAUAAUGUAGGUUAAGCUACAAGAAGGUUGUCCUUUAUCUAUGGAGAAUAUCAUCUCCUCAACCCACUGUUAUCCUCAGACACAAGCGUGGUCAUCUAUUUAUACUAGUAGGAUACAAGCAUUUGCACAGUUGAUGAAUGUAACGAGAUCUUAUGUUGACUUAGGUNAUUCAUGAUAUUUAUGAAGAUAUGUAAAAGUUUAUGGAAUAAAAAGGAUUUCUAUGUUCAUUAUGCCUUCAAUGAAGCAACGGACUUUUGUUAGACCAAACUUUUUCUUAAACACUUUUAGGGUAAUUUUUUUCUCAUAUAAACUUUUUCAUUAUUUUAUUUUUAUCUGCAUAAAGUUAUNUNAAAAGUUUUAUUACAAAACCUACAAACUAUUUUCUAGAAAAAUUAUUAUAUAAGUUUUAAAUUUGACUAGUGAUAAAUGAAGAGUUACUGUUGAAACUUUUUUACUCANUUUUAAACUACUACAAAAUUGUGAACGUAUGUUUAUAAUAGUUGAAAUUGACUCUCCUAAGAUUUUGAUAAGGUUAGAAGUCUAGGGUUAUUUUUAUUAAACUUUUAGUUUGAANUUUUUUAACAAGUGUAAUUUGAUUAUAAUAGAUAUGAUAUUACUUGUUUGUCUCUCUCAUUCCUUUCUAUUCCGUAAAUCUUUUUUCUAAAAGUCUUGUCUUUUCAGAAUAGAAAUGUAUUAUUUAUUGGUUACAUAAAUCUAGGAGGUAAGUUUUUUGUGAUCAAAGGUUAUUGAACAAUUUAAGAUUUUAAUCAACUAGCUUAGGAAAUUAAAUUAAAAAGACAAUUAGGGACAAAAAGGACAGAGUUGAGAUUUAGGGAAGGAGACAAGAAAACAUGACCAACUCCCUUGGAGAAAGUUUUAGAACCAUUUGCAAAAGUUAUGAAAUGAGGUUUUUCUCGAAAGGAAAUAGAUGAGAACAGAGAGGUAUUACCAAAAAUGUGAUCAGAAGCACCUGAGUCAAUUACCCAUGAAUUUUGACCUUCCAUGGAUUGAGAAACGUAGGUUGUUGAUGUACUUGGAGAUUGAGAUGGUUGUGACAACCUGUUAGACUUUAACCUUAGAUACUCUUGAUAUUCAUCUUCAGUGAACUUAGUAGUGAAAAUUUCACUCUUUGAAUUCGUAGUGGAAGUUUCAGUCUUUGAAAUAUUGGCAGUUUUGGAAGGGAAACCAUGUAAGUAGUAGCAAUUCUCUUGAGUGUGACCCAUCCUUUUUCAAUAUGUGCAUUGACGUCCCGACCUCCUCGUCCUCCUCCUCUAGUGCCACGUCCUCAUCUUCCUCGUGUGACAACCAUGACAGAUGGCUCCACUAGUUCAUAUGCUUCCUGAGUUUGAGAUACCGGGACACGCAGAAGGCAAGUGGUCAAUGUUUCCAUGGAGGGGACCUCAUGACUGGUUAGAAGUUGAUCUCUAAGAUUAUCAUAAUCGGGAUGCAGGGCACGAAGAAUCAACACCAUGUAAAAUUUGUCUAGUUUCUUCUUGAUAUCCACUAACGGAUCCGCUUCCAAAAACAUCUUGAGUUCUUCGACAGCAAAUUGGGCUUCAGCCAUGAAAGACACACUAUCAUGGUUUGUCAUUUUAAGAGUUGCAAGUUUGUUUGUAGUGUCAUAGUGAAGUUGAAUAUCGUUGGCAUAGAUGCUUUGAACUUUCUUUCAAAAGGAAUGACAAGUUUUGAAAGCCCUCAGAGAUAUAAGAAGUAUGGGUUCCACUGAUUGCCAUAAUAGGGCACACAACUGGAAAUCUGCUUGUUUCCCCUGAUCAGCUUUUUCAACAAGCACAUGGCUUCCAUCUCGCUCAAGGUGAUCAUAAUGCCCUUGGCCAAGGAACCACAUUUCAACGGCAGCAGACCAUGAUAGAUAAUUUUUUCCAUUUAGCUUUUCAAAGGCAAUUAAUGGACUUCCGGAGAAAGAAAGAGUAUUGUUAGACGUCAUCUUUGAAGAAGAUGAAGUGCACCAACGAAAGGUGAAUGCCAGCGAAUGUGGAUAGCCGGCAACGGUGGUCGGUGAUGACGGACAGCCAGCGACGGUGGCCGGAGACGGUGGUCGGCGGCGAUGGCCGGAAACGGUGGCCGGCAAAGGUGGCAGCCGGCAACGAACAGUGGCGAGACAGAAACCAGAGCGGGAUCGAAUCGCUCUGAUACCAAGUUGAAUAUAGUGAAAACUCCCUUGUGUUCAAUACACACAUAGAGUCCUUUAUUUAUAAUAAAACAAAUAUGGACUAAAUCUAAAAUACAAAUAAGAAAUAACAACAAACUAAAUAAGAAAUAUCAACAAACUAACUAAUAAAGGUAAAAGAUAAAGAUAAUAUAUUUAACAUAAACUAUUAUUUAACCUAUGGACUAUGACUGCAAAGGGACAAUAGAUUGUUCAAGCCAUUUCCUCUUUGGUGGGAUGUCACUCAAAUUUACACAACUAUAAUACUAACUCUAAUUACUCUAAUUAGUAUAGACUAGUUACAUAUAUUUCACUAUUGGACAAGAAAAGAGACAGGCAAAUUUCACUUAGUUGAAGAGAUUUUCUAGUUUAUGAAUUAUUCUAUGUUUGGCUUCUAGAAAGAUAAAGCAUCCUGCUAAUUAGAAUCAACUACAUUGUGUAAGACCACACAAGACAAAUGAAAAUGUUUUGCUUUGAGCACUUACGAGAGGAGAUAUUCUUGUUGACAUGUUCCCUAAAACCCAGGCCACAAAUAUUUCCCAGAAAUACAUCAAAGCCAAGCCUAAUAACAACAAACAUACAUGUAAUAAUUCUUCAAAAAUAGAUAUUAUCUUGAGAUGCACAUACUAUUUUGACUGAUGUAACAGACCUUGAUCAUAGGCUGCCAAGGUCGGAAAGUCGACAAACCGCUAGAUACUCAACUGAACCAAAAAAGUUUAGCUUAUUAGACUACCACUAUUGUCAUAACAUCAUUCUGGCAUCCAAGCAACUGAAACAAUAGAAAAAAAUUCACGAUUCAGAGGGAGGGAGUCUAGUACAGAACAGAGGAGACAGGAUAAAAUCUAAACAGAAAAGUUCUUCAGUCCUAUGUGUUAUGCCAAGAUCACAAGUAAUAACAGGAUAAAGGAUUCAGUGGACGCUACACUAAGAUAUGAUGCAAUACAAAUUUACCCAACCACUAUUCAGGUCUCUACUUUAUAUUCACACGACAAGAAAUACUAUACAAAUUGAACCCAGACUAUUACUCACCCCAUUGAGAAUCAAAGAUUCCAUGCUGAAGAUAAACAGCUUUAGGUGCAUCUCAC